ACGCACCCAUUUAUGGCGCAACUCGUCGAUGCCAUUUUGUAUCACCGGGAGAUCGUAAAACUCUGGGUACUUGCAAACUCGUGCCAUACUCGCGCGCGCACAACAGCAUGUGCGCCGCCAGGCACGUGGGACGGCGCGAGCGCCGCUCGUUAGCGUGGACUUUCUUUACUUCGUAAUGCGCGUGCAAUAAAGUGCAGGUGUCUAAUAAAAUACUAACUGCAAUUUUAAGCAACAAUUAUACUGUACAUAAUGACAGUCGACUUACGUACAGCAAUCUCUUUACUACAUUUCGAAGUAUCAAGAUUUCACCGCAAGGCCUCGCCUAUUACUGGUUUUUCUGACUUUCUUUGCCAAUUUACAAUUAUAUUUCCAACUCAAAUCUCAAACAGCGUGCUGGAUUCUAUCGCUAUAAAUAAUGGUCAUUUCAUUUCCAUCAAAAUCUGACAACUCAUUCUGGCCAGUUGUCAGUCCCUUUAAUCUGUAGGCCCCCGCUGCGGCGUCAUCAUAACCAGGAUACGCGAAAUAAUAAAACUAGACCUUUCCACCCUGUUAGGAUGCCCUACACAAAAUGGCCGACCUCCCGCGCACGGCGCCAUUGAGACGAAGGUCACGUACCGGAGACACUAUCCUUGACGAUGUGCAAAGCUGGCGGGAAGAAGCAGCCAUGGUCUCCUUCGGGAUGCUCACAGACGCGGAUCUUGUCAAGCAGCACACUGGGU
rnacentral:lncRNA from 1 species